UUAGCAGAGAGUAAAUUUGGCAAAACUCGGGAGAACCGCCUUGUGGAGAUAUUGGAAACAUUUCAACCUCGUAAGCAUCAACCCUAACCCUUCCGAGGAGCAACUAAUUCAUGGCGUACAACAUCAUUUCUUAUCUCAGCGAUUGGAUGAGAUGCAGGUCAUUGUGGGCUUCAUUCACACUGCAAAGAGAUUAAAGACUCUCGGCUCUUAGCGAGGAAUUAAUUAAACCCAGAAACAUUUAUACUAAAAUGUAGAGAGUUCGGCUGCUAUACUAUGACCUCCGUGCGUGCUACCAAGUUGUUUUCGAUAAUGUGGUUUUCAAAUUGAUGAUCGGCUCUAUUAGAUUUG